rnacentral:rRNA from 1 species
GACGAACGCUGGCGGCGUGCUUAACACAUGCAAGUCGAACGGAAAGGCCCUGCUUGCAGGGUACUCGAGUGGCGAACGGGUGAGUAACACGUGGGUGAUCUGCCCUGCACUUCGGGAUAAGCCUGGGAAACUGGGUCUAAUACCGGAUAGGAGCCAUUUUUAGUGUGAUGGUUGGAAAGUUUUUUCGGUGUAGGAUGAGCUCGCGGCCUAUCAGCUUGUUGGUGGGGUAAUGGCCUACCAAGGCGGCGACGGGUAGCCGGCCCGAGAGGGUGGACGGCCACAAUGGGACUUGGAGACGGCCCAGACUCCUACGGGGGGCAGCAGGGGGGAAUAUUGCACAAUGGGCGCAAGCCCGAUGCAGCGACGCCGCGGGGGGGAUGACGGCCUUCGGGUUGGAAACUCCCUUCGCUAGGGACGAAGCUUUUUGUGACGGUACCUAGAUAAGAAGCACCGGCUAACUACGUG